CCAAGGCCGAGAGAGGCCUGCAGUGCUUCCCAGACUUUUCCACAGCAGAAGCCCUCACCCUCAACAGGGAUAAUAUACCCAUAGGCAAGUCCAGGGUCAGCAGAAUUGGCUGCUUGGCCCUAGGCCAGCAGCCUGGACACAGGCACUCCAGCUAAGGGAUUGCUGUCUUGGUGCCCCUGGGAGCCAUUCCUGCCCCCAAAGGCACACUGGUGGGAAAGCCCUAGGAUGACCCGUGCCAAGAGGACAAGCAAGGACCAAGCUAUGGGCAAGCCAGAGGUCAAAUGGAGGCUGAGGAGAGGCUGGAGAAGUGGUGGUGGGGGGCAGGUGGAAGGACAGAGGGUGCCAGGCAUCUACAGACACUGAGCGCCCCUGAGGGGUCAGGCCUGAGACAGGCAGGGAAGGGUGGAGUUAGACCUCUGCAAGAGGCUAUGUUUGAACCCUGUGAGCAGAGUUGAGGUUAGACUUCAGAAGGAAAAAGAAAAGCACAAGGCCAGCUGAUUCUCUCUGAAGAGUGGACUUUGGGAUACCUUUCCCAGGAACCCCCAUCCCACUCCCUCUGCCCUUUACUCUCCACCACGCACACAGCUCCCCAGGGGAC
rnacentral:lncRNA from 1 species